GGACACCUAAGAAUGUCAUGCUGAGAAGGCACAGAUUCAUCAUUUAGGCCUCUGAAGAAGAAGUCCAUCUUUAUCAGGAAGCAAGUUUGCCUGCUUCUGCAGUGAAAAUCAAGAGGAGAAAGGCAAGAAUUGAGAGGAAAGUGUCAAUGGAGAGAAGCAAAUAAUUGGAGGAAGAGGAAGGAAUCAAAAGAAAUUAGGUGAGAAUGAAGAAAACGAGGGAGAGAUGGUACUUGUUUAUUCAUUUCGGUAGAGAGAUAUAGUAAACGACGCCGUGCUUAGCACACGCC
rnacentral:misc_RNA from 1 species